CAGGGUGUAACUCAGUUGGUAGAGUGUUGGCUUUGGGAGCCAAAAGUCGCUGGUUCAAGUCCAGCUACCCUG
rnacentral:tRNA from 1 species